rnacentral:snRNA from 1 species
ACACUUUGCUAGCAGGGGAGAUAUCAUGAUUACAGAAGUGGUUUUCCCAGGGUGAGGCUUAUCAGUUGCACUCUGGAUGUGCUGACCCUUGUAAGUUCCCCAAAUGUGAGAAACUUGACUGCAUAAUUUGUGGUAGUGGGGGACUGCGUUCACACAUUCAUCUG